rnacentral:rRNA from 1 species
CCCAGACUCCUACGGGAGGCAGCAGUGGGGAAUAUUGCACAAUGGGCGGAAGCCUGAUGCAGCAACGCCGCGUGAGGGACGACGGCCUUCGGGUUGUAAACCUCUUUUAGCAGGGAAGAAGCGAAAGUGACGGUACCUGCAGAAAAAGCGCCGGCUAACUACGUGCCAGCAGCCGCGGUAAUACGUAGGGCGCAAGCGUUAUCCGGAAUUAUUGGGCGUAAAGAGCUCGUAGGCGGUUUGUCGCGUCUGCUGUGAAAACCCGAGGCUCAACCUCGGGCCUGCAGUGGGUACGGGCAGACUAGAGUGCGGUAGGGGAGAUUGGAAUUCCUGGUGUAGCGGUGGAAUGCGCAGAUAUCAGGAGGAACACCGAUGGCGAAGGCAGAUCUCUGGGCCGUUACUGACGCUGAGGAGCGAAAGGGUGGGGAGCAAACAGGCUUAGAUACCCUGGUAGUCCACCCCGUAAACGUUGGGAACUAGUUGUGGGGGCCUUUCCACGGUCUCCGUGACGCAGCUAACGCAUUAAGUUCCCCGCCUGGGGAGUACGGCCGCAAGGCUAAAACUCAAAGGAAUUGACGGGGACCCGCACAAGCGGCGGAGCAUGCGGAUUAAUUCGAUGCAACGCGAAGAACCUUACCAAGGCUUGACAUACACCGGAAACGGCCAGAGAUGGUCGCCCCUUUAUGGUCGGUGUACAGGUGGUGCAUGGUUGUCGUCAGCUCGUGUCGUGAGAUGUUGGGUUAAGUCCCGCAACGAGCGCAACCCUCGUUCUAUGUUGCCAGCACGUUAUGGUGGGAACUCAUGGGAUACUGCCGGGGUCAACUCGGAGGAAGGUGGGGAUGACGUCAAAUCAUCAUGCCCCUUAUGUCUUGGGCUUCACGCAUGCUACAAUGGCCGGUACAAAGGGCUGCAAUACCGUGAGGUGGAGCGAAUCCCAAAAAGCCGGUCCCAGUUCGGAUUGAGGUCUGCAACUCGACCUCAUGAAGUCGGAGUCGCUAGUAAUCGCAGAUCAGCAACGCUGCGGUGAAUACGUUCCCGGGUCUUGUACACACCGCCCGUCAAGUCAUGAAAGUCGGUAACACCUGAAGCCGGUGGC